UGGUAAUACAUCAGUCAAAAGCAAUAAAUUUAAACUUAAUGAAAUCUCAAUUUGCCUACAGUGCAUUUCACUUUGACAUGUUCUAUAUUGCCACGGUGCUUUGAUAAAGUUUUUUAAAAUGCAAAGAAAGUGUCUGUAAGGCUAAAGACCAGACUUGGUACCAUUGUGGCCAAGGCAACAUUACAGUACUUAAAUUUCAUCACUCUAUGCCCCGUGGCAGGCAGAGCCCCGGCGCUAACACAGGUUCAGUUUUCAUUAUCAUCAUAUGAUUACGCAUUUUACUGCAUUUAACUGAUAAUACAACUACCAGCUCACCUUAAAAGAAUUAGCUUGGAGGUUUCAUUGCUUUCCAAAUGGAAUUCAUUUGACAAACAAAUGACAAUUAGCCUAGUCUCCCUGUUCUGCGUCAGGAUGCUUUUUGAUUGAACCU
rnacentral:lncRNA from 1 species